rnacentral:lncRNA from 1 species
AACAACUGAUACUGAACAAUAGAUAAAUGGAGGGGAUUUCUGUAAGGAAAAUAAAAGUUUAGAAAAGUAGAAACGGUUUAAACUAUAAUGUUUAUUCAUGAAUCUGUAUAUACGCAUUAGCUCCGGGUUUAUGUAUAUAUUAACAUAUUAAUGAAGGCUGAAAUAAAAUAAAAACCUUAUUCAAUUUAAGAAUAAAUAAUUUUUUAAUUGAAUUAUAGUCCGAAUAAUCCCUCAAAUCCAUAUUUAAUAUUUUGAAAGGCUAAAAAAAAAUUAUAUUUAAAUUAUAAAAUUGGAGUAAAGUAUUAAUAUAUUUCAUAAGUUAAUCCGUUUACAAUAACUCUAUUACCUAUUGACAUCUCUAAACUCAUUCAAUUAUAGUAAUACAGGGAGUCCACGCUUAUUGGGGUUUUUGGGAAGAAGAUAAAUCUGCGUUGUACAGAGACUAAAUAUGGUUAGGCUUAACAUCGAAUAUGAAAGUACAUGCGUUAGAACAAGUUUGGCGUAUAAUAUCUAAUGCUGAUAAUAUGAUUUAGUUGCUUUUGGUUUAAGAGAAAUGGUGGAUGAUUCAAUUAGAGUCAAAAACAACCACUGGAAAUAAUAGACAUUUAAUUGGACAUGCAUUAAAUUUACUGUCUACAAAGGAGACGAAAUCGAUUAAAUGUUACUGAUCCUAUAAACAUCCAUGUUUUAUUGUGUUGGUUAAGUCAAGACCGUCUUCUAUAAAGCAUGAAUUUAUGGUGUUAGGCCUGGGCAAUAGACACAUUUUGUUCUUAAUAAGUUAUUUAAUAUAAGCUAUGCCAGACAAGAUACUGAAAAAAAUUUGUAAUACUGAAUCUUAGUCUAGUAUUUACUAGAUUUUUAUCUCGUCAUUUCAAUAUGCCCUCAAGGACGCCAUCAAAAAAGAACGCAAUUAAGUCUUUGCUCACCCAUGCCAAGAAUCUCGACGUUUUUAAGGUAAACCUGCUCCACUGGGUCCAGACAAAUUUAUCUGACGGCAACGUCGUCUUUUAGUAAGAUACCUACUUCCACUGCGAAAAUUACUCAGACCUUCUUACUUAAGAACAUCGCUUUUUGGGACAAGAGAAUUUGGCCAGCAUACAGUAUGGGUGUCAAUCCCCUGGACUUUCUUUUCUCUCUGCAAAUAGAGAGGAAGACCUAUGCCAUCCGCCACCCGAAUUUUGUAGCCAUGAAGGCCUCCGUCGAUGAGGAGUGGGUUACCGUGGAUGCAAACGUCAUUAACAAUACUUGCAACUCUUUUUGCAAGAGGCUUAUCGCCAUCUGUGAGGUCAAUGACGGGCGAAUAGAAUAAAUCAAUUUGACGUUGGUUAUGUAUCAGAAAAAGAUUCAUAAAGAUUUUUGUGAAAUUUAUAAUUAAAGAAUGGUAGCCCCUUGACUUUUUUCUUUACAAGUGUAUAAGGGUUCAAGUUUCCUCUCGCUACAAAAAUUCCUGUUUGCCACAAUAUAUAGUUUUUUAUAAUUUAUUAUUGUAAUAUAAAAAAAAUUCAAAAUAAGGGGAAUGUACCGCCCUAUACAGGGAGUCAGAAUAAUUCCAAACACCACGUCAUACGAAAUCCGUGGUGUUUGAAAAUGCAUUAUCCGGGAACCUCUUGUAUAUGAUAACGCUUUUGCCCCAUUGUAUUAGUUGAGUAUGUUAAAAACAUGGACGGGGAUUCAAUUAGUUUAUUCUAAUAAAGUAUAUCAAUAUUUUAUUCCAAUUUUUAAAUUUAAAUAAAAAUUUAAU